rnacentral:rRNA from 1 species
GAUGAACGCUAGCUACAGGCCUAACACAUGCAAGUCGAGGGGCAGCGUGGGGCAGCAAUGCUCCGACGGCGACCGGCGGAAGGGUGCGUAACACGUGAGCGACUUGCCCGUCACAGGGGGAUAACCGGCGGAAACGGCGACUAAUACCCCAUAUGAUGUGAUGCUGCAUGGCAUCGCAUUGAAAGAUUCAUCGGUGGCGGAUAGGCUCGCGGGACAUUAGCUAGACGGCGGGGCAACGGCCCACCGUGGCGACGAUGUCUAGGGGUUCUGAGAGGAAGACCCCCCACACUGGGACUGAGACACGGCCCAGACUCCUACGGGAGGCAGCAGUGAGGAAUAUUGGUCAAUGGGCGGAAGCCUGAACCAGCCAUGCCGCGUGAAGGACUAAGGCCCUACGGGUUGUAAACUUCUUUUGUGCGGGAAUAAAGGAGCCUACGUGUAGGCUUUUGCAUGUACCGUAACGAAUAAGCAUCGGCUAACUCCGUGCCAGCAGCCGCGGUAAUACGGAGGAUGCGAGCGUUAUCCGGAUUUAUUGGGUUUAAAGGGAGCGUAGACGGGUUUUUAAGUCAGCUGUGAAAGUUUGGGGCUCAACCUUAAAAUUGCAGUUGAAACUGGAGACCUUGAGUACGGUUGAGGCAGGCGGAAUUCGUGGUGUAGCGGUGAAAUGCUUAGAUAUCACGAAGAACCCCGAUUGCGAAGGCAGCCUGCUAAGCCGCCACUGACGUUGAGGCUCGAAAGUGCGGGUAUCAAACAGG